rnacentral:rRNA from 1 species
CCUACGGGAGACAGCAGUGGGGAAUAUUGCGCAAUGGGCGAAAGCCUGACGCAGCGACGCCGCGUGAGGGAUGAAGGUCUUCGGAUCGUAAACCUCUGUCAGCAGGGAAGAACGGUCACUGUGCUAAUCAGCAGUGAAUUGACGGUACCUGCAAAGGAAGCACCGGCUAACUCCGUGCCAGCAGCCGCGGUAAUACGGAUGGUGCGAGCGUUAAUCGGAAUUACUGGGCGUAAAGCGCUCGUAGGCGGUAUGUCAAGUCAAGGGUGAAAUCCCCGCGCUCAACGUGGGAACUGCCUUUGAAACUGGCAAACUGGAGUGUGUGAGAGGAUAGUGGAAUUCCAGGUGUAGGAGUGAAAGCCGUAGAUAUCUGGAGGAACAUCAGUGGCGAAGGCGACUAUCUGGCACAUAACUGACGCUGAGGAGCGAAAGCGUGGGUAGCAAACAGGAUUAGAUACCCGAGUAGUC